ACAGCAGCCGCCGCGGGAAUACGAAGGGGGCUAGCGUUGCUCGGAAUCACUGGGCGUAAAGGGUGCGUAGGCGGGUCUUUAAGUCAGGGGUGAAAUCCUGAAGCUCAACUCCAGAACUGCCUUUGAUACUGAAGAUCUUGAGUACGGGAGAGGUGAGUGGAACUGCGAGUGUAGAGGUGAAAUUCGUAGAUAUUCGCAAGAACACCAGUGGCGAAGGCGGCUCACUGGCCCGAUACUGACGCUGAGGCACGAAAGCGUGGGGAGCAAACAGGAUUAGAUACCCCCGUAGUCCCUGUCUCUUAUAC
rnacentral:rRNA from 1 species